UGGCGGUGUCGACUGCAGAUGACAUUCGAUUUUUAGAUUCUACGAAUCGAUUCCACCACUCUGUACGCUUCUCUAAACCACCGUUUCACUCAACUCAAGCGGAAGAAAGACGGGGGAAGUUGGAUAUCGAUGGUCGGACCGUCACUCCUAUACACGGUAUGUAAUUCCAACCCGUCGUCUGGCUAGGGUUUCUUACUUUGAUUCAAAGCUGGGAGUAUCAUCUUUCUUCGUUGUCUCCUUCUUUCACCGACAUAACUACUGUGUGUUAUAUGCUUUGUAUUUUUGAACAUUCAAAACCUUCACGACAAAGAAGACGAAGAAGAAUCGAAAUCAUCUGCUCCAUUAAAUUUCUAGAUUGUCUUACACCACCGGUGCUACCAGAGUAAUCAGCGAAACACACAUAGUUGUAAACUUUGAAGAAUGGCAUCUGGGUUCUCCUUCCUCCAUCUUUGAUUACAAGUGAUGUCCACCCAUCGGUUUUGCUUCUGUUAUACGCUUCAAGGCCUAAACCUAUGUUGCUCACUGUUGCCAUAACCACCAUCUCUUGGUAUUCUAUGAUAUUUGUCAAAAAAUAAAUCAUUGAAGCCCACUUAAGGUAAUUUUAUGGUCAUGUACGAUUGAAUAACAGUGCUGAAGUAGUUAAGUUUAUGUUGAACAUGGCAGGACCUGAAACACUUGACUUGGAAGCAAUGAACAUGUAUGGAGAAACACCAUUGCAUAUGGCUGCUAAAACAGUUGUAAUGAAGCUACAGGGCUUCUUCUUUCUCAUGGAGCUUCUACCGAAGCUAAAGCAAAUUUAUGUACUUUGUUUAUGUCAUUUAUUGAGCAUUACAAUUUUUAUAUAAUCUAAGCUUGAUAAAAAAAAAUUAAUCUUUAUCAUCCAUAUGCAGUUAAACAAAAGCUAAAAUGGAUGAACUUGAAAAUGAAUUAUCCAAUUUAGUGGGGCGUCAUGAGCUUAAAUUACAACUUAGAAAAUGGGCUAAAGGGAUGCUUUUAGAUGAAAGGCAAAGAGCCCUUGGUUUAAAAGUUGGGACCCCUAGACCACCUCAUAUGGCCCUCCUUGGUAAUCCAGGAACAGGAACAGGAACAGGAACAGGUAAAACUAUGGUAGCUCGGAUUCUUGGAAAGCUAUUUUUUAUGGUUGGGAUUUUACCAACGGAUAAGGCGACAGAGGUGCAAAGAACAUAUUUGGUUGGUUACUUUUCUUUGAUAAACUUGGGAUUUAUGUAUAAGGAUACUAUUAAUAAGGAAAAUUCUAACAGUGUAGCCAAAUUAUUGAAAUGUGGUCACUAAUGAAUGAUUAUUACUCUUAAAAAUAAAUAUCAUAUUUUUUGCCUUCCAUAAUAUGUUACCUUUGCAAAAAAAUGACGAAUAUUAUACAAUGUGCAACAAUAUUGGAGGAUACCUGGAAUUGUGAGCCCGAUUAAGAACUUAACUAGGAUCAAGUGGAUCUUUAGGUAAACUUUUUACGUCUCUCCUUUCAGUGAUUCAAGUUUUAUGCAUAAAUUCUUAUAUUUGUUUUUUUUUUAUUUCUAAAUUUUGCUCAAUCUUCUAUUUUUUAAAAAUUAUUUAUUGUAGGUUCUAUCUAUUUCUAUUGAUGACAUAAUUAAACGUUAAUUCUAUUUGGAUGGAAAGUUCUCAGAAACCAUAUCCAGGAGGACGAAAAUUUUGUCAACUUCUUCUUAAUGAAUACUAUGUAAUUCAUAAAUCUGUGAUCAUCGAUGAUAAAAGGGAUAAAUGCAAACAAUUUCAAUGUAUGCUUACAAUUAUAUUCACAAAUACGGGCAUAAAUCCAACUUAAUGGUUUCUUCAGUCUGAAACAAAUAGUAUGUUUACAAUCUUUUUUUAUUAACCUUCAACUAAUUUUCUGAUUUUUGAGAGGAAUGUCAAAUUCGGAGGGUUCAUCUACUGCAACACCCACCUUCUACUAUAAUAUUGGCUUCCAGGGUCUUUUGUCAUUAUCAUUUCCAGUUGAGAAUUGAAACACAUCGGUUGCGAUGACAACAUUGAGGAAUCAUUUGGAUUGAACCGAGAAUUUUCCUUUUGUGAAGAGAAUUUUAGACUUCCAUGUGCUGCUUUUGUUAUCCAGGUAUCUAGACAUGAAUUCAGAUGUGCCAACAUUAGUAGGCUAUAAAUAUAUCAAUAUUUCUUAUUAAUAGAAUGAAAUGUACCUUUUUUUUAUCGAUGCUUAUUAUCUUGGAAUGGAAGGAAUGUUUACAUUGAAAUCUGAUUACUUAAUUUGGGUAGUUCUUAUAUGUUUUGUAACACCCAAAGUUUUGAAGGCCAAGAAAGGAAAGAAAACCCUAAUUUUUAGGGGCGACUCGGCGAGUCCAAGGAGGAACUCGGCGAGUCCGAGCGGGAUCCGGGUCGAGGUGUAAGUGACCGACUUGGCGAGUCGGCCAAGUGGACUCGGCGAGUCUGGUCUGUGCGAGGAAAACCCUAAAUCCGGGACUUUGGGCGCUAUUUAAGCUCCUUAUUCUCUCCAUUAGGGUUCCUUAGAGCCUCCCUCAUUCAGAAAGCGAACCCUAAGCCUCCAUUGUUGUGCAUUCAAGCUUCCAAGCCAUUUUUGGAUGGAUUGAAGGAAGAAGAAAGAGGGGAAUCAGUGAAACUUCAAGGAUUGGCUUCAGAUCUGGAGUUUGUGGAGCCUUUCUGAGAUAUUGAAGGUAAUAAUUCGUUUCUCUCCUUUAGAUCUUCCAUGGUUGAGAGAUUUGGGGCUUUUAAGCCAUGGUUUGUCACCCAUUUGAGUUAGAAGCCGGA